rnacentral:rRNA from 1 species
CAGCAGCCGCGGUAAUACAGAGGGUGCAAGCGUUAAUCGGAAUUACUGGGCGUAAAGCGCGCGUAGGUGGUUUGUUAAGUUGGAUGUGAAAUCCCCGGGCUCAACCUGGGAACUGCAUUCGAAACUGGCAGGCUAGAGUCUUGUAGAGGGGGGUAGAAUUCCAGGUGUAGCGGUGAAAUGCGUAGAGAUCUGGAGGAAUACCGGUGGCGAAGGCGGCCCCCUGGACAAAGACUGACGCUCAGGUGCGAAAGCGUGGGGAGCAAACAGGAUUAGAUACCCCAGUAGUCCCUGUCUCUUAUAC